AUACUUACCUGGCAGGGGAAGCUCCAUGACCACGGAGGCGGGCUUCCCAGGGCAGGUGAUUGUCUCUAAUAUGUCCUCCAUAGGAGGUCUAUAUUGAGCAGGGUUUUUUUGGUGUUGGGUGGUGGAACUGGAGUCCAUCCACUCC
rnacentral:snRNA from 1 species